rnacentral:rRNA from 1 species
GACGAACGCUGGCGGCGUGCCUAAUACAUGCAAGUAGAACGCUGAGGGAGGAGCUUGCUCUUCUGGAUGAGUUGCGAACGGGUGAGUAACGCGUAGGUAACCUGCCUGGUAGCGGGGGAUAACUAUUGGAAACGAUAGCUAAUACCGCAUAACAGUAGAUGUUGCAUGACAUUUGCUUAAAAGGUGCAAUUGCACCACUACCAGAUGGACCUGCGUUGUAUUAGCUAGUUGGUGGGGUAACGGCUCACCAAGGCGACGAUACAUAGCCGACCUGAGAGGGUGAUCGGCCACACUGGGACUGAGACACGGCCCAGACUCCUACGGGAGGCAGCAGUAGGGAAUCUUCGGCAAUGGACGGAAGUCUGACCGAGCAACGCCGCGUGAGUGAAGAAGGUUUUCGGAUCGUAAAGCUCUGUUGUAAGAGAAGAACGAGUGUGAGAGUGGAAAGUUCACACUGUGACGGUAUCUGACCAGAAAGGGACGGCUAACUACGUG